CAGUUAUCAGUUAGCGCCGCAUGAAAUCGAACACACUUAUUUCACUGCAUGGUCAAUGUUGGUUUAAACACUUACUCACUUCAAAGAAAAACGGUGGUGGGUAAAUCUGUCUGGUGCACAGGUAGAUCUCUCGCCUGAACGACAUGCCCAACACGUCCAUGUCAUCGGGUCCAUAUCGAAAAGCGCAUGAUAAGGUAACGUACGCUUGGGGGCGACAGAAACAUAAGACACAUACCGAUCCUUCCUGCAGGGGGUUGUAUCUACCUGAGAGGAUUGGGUUGGUUCCUCUUGGUCAGCACUGGAGGAGAUUACCUAACACAGUCAGGGCUCAAGGAGGGAUGGUUUGCUCACAUGCAGAGAACUGUGGUGUCUGCAAUGGGCUUUGUAUGUAAACAGCUCACACUGGAUGAGGAUUUAUAUGAGAUCAGUCUGCGAUAGACCCGGUAGACAGAAAUUUUAAAAACAUAGGAAAAAUUUGGGCAUGUUUCAAAUGAAAGUAUAACAAUUACAGACCAGACAUGUAAAGGUUGGAUACUGAGAUUAUGAAUAUAAAUACUUUAUAGGGCGGUAAUGCAUGAUUAAGAAUAAAUGUAGAAAAGCUAAACGUAUGUGGUGGAAAACAAAACUUAAAGUAUAUUAUAGCAUCUAUAAGACAGUCUUCGUGCCUUCAAUGUAGAACUACGCACAGCUAGACAGACCUUUUUCUCAAACAUUAUAAACAACAACAUAAAAUCAAGUUCCUAGUGAAAUGCUCUCUGACAACAAAUGCAAUGACUUUGCAACCUUUUUCUCCGAGAAGAUCAGUAAUAUCAGAAUGCCGAUCAAUAAAAAAGUAAGAUUUUUUGGUUCUGGUCAGAAUUCUGGCAGCAGCGUUCUGUAUGAGCUGUAGCUGUCUAAUGGUCUUUUUGGGGAUCCCAGUAAGGAGUCCAUAGCAGUAAUCCACCCUGCUGACGGUUCACACGGCAGUAAUUGCGAAAGAGUCUGUGAAAAGUGUAAACUGCAAGGGAAAUCCCCAAAGGGCUCAGUGUGAUGUGCCACACAGCAGUAAUAGCGAAAGAGUCUGGGAAAAAGCGUAGUGAGCAUCUGACAUGGUGGAUAUGAGAAGUUAAAUUUCCUUUCCAAAUAAGGGGUGUUUAAGUGUUUAGGAAUUACAUGAUGUGGGAAUAUGUAUCUUUGUUUUAAUUGUGAUUUUAUUUCUUGUAUUUGUAUUUUUUUUUCUUUAUAGCCUGUUGUUUUCUCAUUUCUAUGUAAAGCACUUCGAAUGACCUUUGUAUAUGAAAUGUGCAUUACAAAGAAACUUGCCUUGCCUAAUCCCAGAUAGUCAGUGUCAGCAAUGUAAGACUCUAUAGGAAGCUGAUAUGGGAUUACCUUCAUGAGUGGCGUAAUCUAACUCUGUAUUUCAGACAGCUAGUGAAUAGUAAUUGUUUCCAUAAGCCAACCACAGAUACACACAAUUACCCAAAUACAGACUUGAACCUUAAAUCUGUUGGAGUGGUUGUCUCAGAUUACCCAGUGAGAUUUAGUUGUAUAUUUUAUAUUCCAUUUUUACAGCAUGAUGGAAACAAGCAAUGCAAAUUAUAAGCUCUAUGUUAGACUCUAUAUAUGAGGAGCCCACUAUAGCCAAAAUAAACUUGAAUUUGUUGACAUGUUUUUGCCAAAAUAACUUGUGAUAUUCCAUCAUGAAAGCAAAGUUAUUUAAAUUGCAUUUAUUUAUUUAUUUUCUUUCAAUAAUUUAAACGUCGAUUAAAUUUUAAUUGACAGCCCAAAUUUCGCCUUGUUUUAGCCUAGAUCACUGGUUUUCAAACUGGGGUCGCGAGAUGGUGCCAGGGGGGCCCCAGUUUUAUGACAUUUUAUGAAAUACAUUAAAUUAUAAUGAAUUCUGUUUAAUUAAACCUAAAAAAAUAAGGCUACUAACCAACAGCACUACUUUUUGUAUAAUUUAUUGUAUAAAAACAUUGUAUAAUGUUUUUUUUUAAUAAAAUGUUGAGUUUUAGAACAGUUUUUUGUCACAAAGUUUCUUUGGGGGGCCGCGAAGGAAUGCACCAUACACAAGGGGGGUCACACGCUGAAAAAGUUUGGGAACCACUGGCCUAGAUGGCUAU